UACCCAAUCCUGGCACAGGGAGGUAGUGACAAGAAAUAACAAAGCAAGUCAGAAUUCUGAUUUUGCUAUUGGAAUGAGUCGAAUUUAAAUCCCUUUACGACUAUCAAUUGGAGGGCAAGUCUGGUGCCAGCAGCCGCGGUAAUUCCAGCUCCAAUAGCGUAUAUUAAAGUUGUUGCGGUUAAAAAGCUCGUAGUUGGAUUUCUGUCGAGGAUGACCGGUCCGCACUUUGUGCGUGCAUCUGGUUCAGCCUUGGCAUCCUCCUGGGGAACGUAUCUGCGCUUAAUUGCGUGGUGCGGUAUUCAGGACUUUUACUUUGAGGAAAUUAGAGUGUUCACGGCAGGCAAUCGCCUUGAAUACAUUAGCAUGGAAUAAUAAUAUAGGACCUUGGUCCCAUUUUGUUGGUUUCUGGAACUAAGGUAAUGAUUAAUAGGGAUAAUUGGGGGCAUUCGUAUUAACGUGUCAGAGGUGGAAUUCUUGGAUUACGUUACGACGAACUACUGCGAAAGCAUUUGCCAAGGAUGUUUUCAUUGAUCAAGAACGAAAGUUCGGGGAUCGAAGAUGAUUAGAUACCAUCGUAGUCCGAACCAUAAACUAUGCCAACUAGAGAUGGGCGAUCGUUAUUUUUUUGACUUCGUCCGCACCUUGUGAGAAAUCAAAGUCUUUGGGUUCCGGGGGGAGUAUGGUCGCAAGGCUGAAACUUAAAGGAAUUGACGGAAGGGCACCACCAGGAGUGGAGCCUGCGGCUUAAUUUGACUCAACACGGGAAAA
rnacentral:rRNA from 1 species